GCAAGUUUUAUUGACUCUAUUUCACAGAGAAGGCAACUGAGGAGUUAAGUACCUUUUCCAAGGUCACAGGAAAGUGGCGAAUGAGAGUCCUGUGAUUCCAGUCUAGGUCAUCUGAAUCUAGAUCCUGUGUUCUUGACCACUACAUGAAAUUACUGACUGGCAACCAGAUCAUAGAAUUCUCUUAUUCCUACUCCAAGGAGCCUUUUCCCAAGCCUAUUUCACACUGUAGGCAUGGAUCACCCACUUCAGAAACAGUUCUAACGACUAUAAGUCUCAAAGACAGAAGUUGCAAGCUACUGAUGUGCUGCAUAAAAAUACUCACAGGCUUGCCUGAGGAGCAGCUUUUUCUACUCCCUGAAAGAUGUGUAACUGUGGAAGAGAGAGAAGAAGGCUGAGAGAACAAGCAGAUGGGAGGAAGGAACUGAGAUACCUCAAUCCUUGGGGAAGAAAACAGAACCUUCCUUUGCAAGUACCAGGGAAGUGUAGACCGUGACACAAUGUGAAGAGUCUUCUUGUUGCUGGUCAGAGAGUUUUACCAACUACCGGCUUAGUGCCCCAAAUCAUCUGCCUCCAUCCGACUGGUUCCCACAGACAAUUCACUAACUGAUGGUUCUGGAAACGGGUAGGGAAAUUAGAUGUCCAGUGAGGAGAUGAUGGCUGGAGGAGAAUUUGGGUGGAGACAGCAACUAAUAUACCUCUUCUGUUACAGAGGCAUAGAAACAAAGGAGAGGAAAUACAGCAACAUGUCAACCAUGCUCAUAUUUAGGUGGUGAUUAUAGGUGACUUUUAUUUCCUUCUUAAAACUGAAUUGUAUUUUCAAAGUUUUCUAUGAUGUAUGACAUAUAUAAUCAGAAGAUGGUUGAAAUAAAGAACAUCUUCAUUGGAAUAUGUGCCUGAUAUAUGGCAACUCCAUUUUCAUGCUGGGUUUGGCCAAGAGAGCACCCACAGCUGUGCCAAGAGUUCUCUUUGAAAGUCCAUCUGGGUUCAGCCCAAUUAAUAAAUAAACUCAAAGGCCCAGGGUUCUUCAUUGUGAUGCACAGGCAUAAUGAUUUUAGCUUGAUCACCCAAGGGCAUAGUCCAGAAAGAGAACAGUCUGAAGACUACUAGCUUCAAGACAGGAUGAAAUUAAAAAUGUUUGUCUAUGUGGUACUCUGCACUGCUGGCAUAAAUUUUGGUCUACAAUCUCCUCUGAGUGACUUCCUCCAGAGAAGUUAUCUCAAUUGCACUUAUACUUAUUUGUAUGACUAAUGCCUGCCUACUUCAGUAAACUAUAAACUCCACGGGAAUAGAAUCUCCAAUAUUUUAUUUCUUACCAUUGAAAAUCCAAUCCAGAGGCUAUAUUUGUGUGUGUAUAUAUAUAUAUAUAUACACACACAUAUGUAUAUAUUUUUGCAUACACGCUG
rnacentral:lncRNA from 1 species